AUGGAUCCGUCGGCGUCGGCGUCGCUGGUGGUGCGGAGCCCGCGGCAGACGGUGAGCCUGCUGCGGAGCCGGCGGCCGCAGUUCGGUCGGCCGGAGCGGGAGCGGAACCCGCCUCGGCGGGGGAGGGAGGCGUCGGGGCCCAAGCCGUCGGAGGUGUACGGGUUCGUGGGGUCCAUCACCGUGGUGACGGCGACGGCGGUGUACCUGGCGUGGGCCUACGCGCCGGAGCCGGCCCUCCGGUCGCUGGGCAUCACCUACUACCCCACCAAGUACUGGGCGCUGGCCGUGCCGUCGCUCGCCAUGGUCGCCCUCGCCCUCUCCCUCCUCGCCUACCUCGGCUCCAACUUCGUCGCCACCCCUCCCCCCACCUCCUUCUCCACCAUCUUCGACGAGUACAGCCGCGAACGCCCCGGCGCCGCCGCCGCGGUUCAUGUGGAUGCCGCGACGGCGCAAGGAGAUGAGGAGGAAGAAGAAGCGGAGAGGCCGAUCGAGCCCAUUUCGGACAUCAGCAUCCAUCACAUCAACAACCUCAUGUUUGGUGAUCACUGA
rnacentral:rRNA from 1 species